UCCCACUUUUAUGUCUAGGGCAUACCAGUGAAGAGAGAAUUAGUUGUUUUUUUGUUUACGGCCUCAGGAAAAAGGUGUACUUCUUUACAAGGCUUUUAAGAUCAAAGAGUCACUCUAGGCAGCCGCCAGAGAACGCGGAGGGAUCCGUACACCCACUUCCGGCGUUGGCUCGAGGGGCGGAGAAAGAAGUCUUUAACUCCCAAGAAAGGUUUUUAUUGUGAGGUAGACGGUCUCCUGGUUCUCGCGCGAGAUAAUGGAGGAGCGAGCGCGUCGAGAUGAUUGGUCAGGCACGGGCUCGAUCCCAAAGCCGAUUCCUCAUCAAAACCAUCUGCGUUCUCAACUUGAGUGAAGUACCAGGGAGGAAAACCAGCCGAUCAAGAAUAUGAAGAGGACCACAGGGGCUGAGCCCAGGAGGAAAGAUUAUAGGUCUCACAACACAAUUUUUCCAGACAUGAGCUUCAGUUAUUUUUUUAUUUGGGGAAAAAAAGUCACAACCAAGAGUAUAAAGUACUUUGUAUUGAACUCAUGUUUUAGGAAGGGGCAACAAGGAAAACCAAAAUACACUUUGGAAUUGAUUGGGUUUUCGAGAUGAUGAGUCUUUUUUCAAGCAUUAAGCCAACUAUGUGGUUUGCUAACCUAGAUGGUGCAAAAAAAUUUCCAGAUGGAGUAGAAGCAGAUGCUGUUACUUCAGGCAAAAGUGAAAGUUACAGAGUAGAAAGGUGGGAAAAGGCCCUACAUCUUUCCCCAAAGC